GAGAACAAAACUGCCGAGAAUACGUAAGUUCUCCUAUAUCUUGGUUUCCCGCAAAUUCCUGCAAAAUAGUCCGGUACCAUCGACUGUUUCAGCCAAAUUCAACCCCACUAUGCUUUUCAUCGUCGCAUUGGUAUUUGUGUGUGAGCAUACCUGUUUGUUUUUGCCGACCCGUUAUGUUUUGACAUGCGCAGAAAGUGCGUGUGGUGUGGGAUACGUAAACAAAAACAAAAUCAGAAUCUCGUUUACGGUGGACGCUAGUGGUACAAUUUUGAUUUCAAUCGGACUUCUUACAGCAUACCCAAAUGGACCAAAACACCGAUUCAGCCACAGAUUCUGAGCAAAGCCAAAACACACAAAAUGCGCCAAAGCCACCGAUUCCGCUACCCAGGGAGCUUGUUCUGCUGAUCCGAACAAAACACCAGCUGAAGAAAAAGCUCAACAGGGAUGUCAACAAUAAGGAGUUGUACCUGCAAUUCAAGGCCCUGGAGAGGAACAUUAGGAACCUGGUGCGAUACCUGAAAACCAUUCCGCCACAGCCGAGUGAAGAUGAUAUCAUUCCCGGCUGUAUCAGAUUGGAAGAGCCACCUCGUGAAAAGGAGAAAGAAAUUGAUUUCACGAGUGAUGAUUGGUUUUAGAGAAAUAUGUUUGUCCAUUUUGAAUAUAAGGUGAUUGAAAUUGUAAUCAA